UACCCCUGCAAAUAAAUAAAUGAAUUUUUAAAUUAGAAAAAGUCUGGGAAAAAUUGUGAAAAUGCAUAUGGAACGAUAUAUCGACGAUUAAAAAAUUUUUUAAAUAUUUCAUUAUUAUAGUAAAUGAGUAAUAUGCGAGUAUAUUUGAGGCCUUUAAUUACUACCGAUUCAAUAAAAUGUCGAUCAAAAAAUUCAUCUAAAUUGUUUAAUGAUAUAUUUCGAUGAUCCGUUUUGAAAUUACUUGCUGUAACCCGAUGAUCAACCUCUAGAAAGCGAAGUUGCGCGGCCAACGCUCUUGCCAAGCCACUCUUUCGAUCCUUAGCUCUUUCGAUCUCUAAGUCUUAAGAACAACGGUGAAAGCAUCGCCGUUAAUCGCACGAGCCUUGUUUCUUUUUAUAACAGGGCCGUUUUUCCAUUGCGCGAACGACCCGUGUUUGGGAACGUGUGUCACGAGUUCUGGAAGAACUUGCUCGUACAAAGGAUCGAUGAAGCGAAAGAAUCGAUCAAAUGAAUAUCAUUGUUAGAGAGUAUAGUAAAAAAUCAUUUUUAACCGAAUAUUAUUUUAAAUCAACGCAUUUUUUGCUUUUUGAAUAUAAUUCUAUAAUGGCAUGAAAUAAAACAAAUUGAAUUUUAAAUUGAAAAAUAUAUAAUCUAUUAUUCUUUACAUACACAUAAACUUUUGUUCAAAUCAAAUCAGAAUCGAAUUAAGCUUAAUUUCUCUGUAAAAUAAUAUCUAUAAUUAAAUAUAUCUAUUUUUGUUCAGGCAAUCAUCGUGGUUAUUUCGCGUGAAUACUUCCGAGCGGAAAGUAUGUUACACGUCGAUUUAAUUAUCAACGAGCAUAAAACUAUUAACGGCUAGGUUGAUUUUGCAGUGGGAAAAAUUUUACGACACCGAAUAGCAUGAGAUCAUCGAUGCAAUUAUCAGUGGUAUUAACCUGGAUCGGCCAGAUUACGUAGGGAACACAUACCAUGGACAAAAAUCUGUGAUACCUUGGCCGAUAAAAUCCUUACACUGUUCGCGUGCGUUCCAUUUCAGAAUUUUUCCAGCCUAGCCGGGUUAUCUUCGCAGCGUUCCAAGUAUCAACAUCGAUGCUUUUCACUCGAUAAACUGGUCGCGAGAUCGACGUCGCGGAACGGCUUAUUCGUGUCCUGCGAUAAGUCUCACCACAAGUUUCUCCGACAAGUGAGAACCACGGUCUAGGUAUGUAGGUUGGCAAAUACCGAUAGAAUUGCCAACGAUCGUGGUCAGAUUGUACCGAAUGGAGUUGCGUUAUCUACGUUCUAAUUACAGAUCUAUCUGACGUUCCUUCGAGUAUACACCGAACAAAGGGGAAAACAGAACCAUGCUCGAUCCUCUUUGAUAUUAACUAUUCGUUUCACGAUGAAUGACAGGGCGAAUGAAAGUAUAGCGCGGCGAAUCUAUGGAAAGGAAACUGCUUUGACGAAGGUUUUAACGAGAUGGCGCUCUUCAAAGGGGAAAGGCAAUCGUUCUCGAGCAACGGGAGAUCGUGAUAAUUGGUGGUUAUUUGAAGUUUCGUUUAUCCAAGAGUUCUAAUUUUCGAGCGAGAAUCGCCUUGCUAUAAUUACCGCGUCGCAAUCACUGUUUUUAUUGUAUCGAAUUUAUUUACAGUUGCGCCAUCAGGCGGGACAAAAUUGCGACUUUUGUUGCAUCGCGAGAGGUUAGUUUGCGAGUUUUCCUCGAUGAGGAAGCGAAGUUUUCGAUCGGGUCAGCGGGAGAAAUGCGGACAAAGGCAGGUUUACGUAAUAAACGUAAAUGCUAGGAAACAAGUUCAGAACUGAAGGAAGUGAACGCAGUGUGUACUCGUCGUGGCUGCAUUGCUAUACACGUGAUCUCGAUUUCCCUGGUCGAGCCCAGGUCGAACUCCCACGCUCCCUUCUUUCCGCGCACGUAUGCACGAUUCUCGUAAAGAUCGCACGCCUUCGUUCAACAAAUCGCAUCUACCUUCCACUCUAAUUUGUCUUGGAAAACGCAAUAUAUCGGCCGUCUUGAGCAAUUCUCGUCGCGAUAUUACCUUUGAUUCGUGCUCGAUCUCCUCGCAAGCAACUCGUUUUGUUUUAAUUCCGACUCGAUGGUUCAAAAUAUUGUGCAACGAUGAGACGCUACGAGAAAUUACGCGAUCAAAAUUAUUUAAGAUUAGAAACAAAUUCUAACGAAAUAUGCACGGUGAUAAGAGGAACAAAAGUCGAAAUUGUAUAAUAGUAUUCGUCUCGUCGAAGUAGCACCUGCGAGAACAGCUAUCGUAUUUGUUCUACGUCGUGAACGAAUUUUAUUAUUCCCGUAAUAGCGAGGAGGCAGCUGCAAACACCUAACAGGUGGUGCGAUAUAAAUCGGGGCCAAAAUUUUACGUGCAACCGUUACCGAAGAGCUCGUUUCUAUUUUAACCGCUUUGCAACCACGGACGAGAUAUUUCGCGAUGCAAUACCGUUCUUAUGCCACGAACGAGGUAUCUCGCGAGUUUAUUAGGACAAGAGUCGAUUCUAGUGUUAUUCUAUUCAAUAAAAUAUUCAGUUGUUGAGAAAAUUACAGAUUUUUUUACAUAUAGAAUAGUAUUCUUUAUUAGUUUGAUAAACGACAUUCAAAUUCGAUAUUUUAUUUUCGUUGUGACGAUAUUUGUUUUACAAAAUAUCUUGUGCUUGUGAAGUAACAAAAUUAACGAAAGUACAAAAUUCAUUUUCUAUAAAAAGAGAAACAUUAUUUUCGAAAGAUCGAAACUUUCGCGUGAGAAUAUAUCUCACAGAAUCAACGUGCGAAUCGCUCGAGCGAAAUUAAUGACGAGGUUAUGAAAUACAAUGAAUUUUAAACAGUUUAAAUCCGAAUUUGAAUGAAAUAUAUUAGCUGAGAAAAACAAAGUUGAAUCAAAAUCUAAUGAGAAGUCUUGACUAUGUCUCUGUUCAUAUUCAAAUUUCUUGAAAAUAUAAAGUGCUCGACAACUCGUCAGAAAUUAAUUAUGGAAGCAUUGAAUCCUAACCUUCAAGUAUUAUGAGAUUCAACUUUCGUCUAAAUGAAUUCGCUCAAACUAAAUUACAAUUGACACAAAAAGAUACAAACUCAACUAUAAUUGACUCUUUUAUAACAUGAUAUUUUGAAAAUAUAUGAUAAAACAGUGCAAAAAUUGUGAUAAUAUAUCCUAUAUUAAUAAAUUUAGACAAUUCGUAUAGCAUGAUACAUAUCAUACUUUUUUUUUUGAACACAUUAUUUAUCACUAGCCUAUUUAAUAGAUUGUACACUCAAUAUUAAUAUCAGUAACUUAUAAAUUGGCGUUUUAACAUUCGGUUAUCGAUUGUUGAAAUUCAUUGGCUUUUUCUUAAAUCUGUUAAAGACAGUAAUAGAAAAAUUGUUAAACACAUUUACUUGUGCCAUCAGCUAAUAAUAGUUUUACUUAUUUUUUCAAAGUUAUAAUAAUUUUCUGAUCCUCAAAAAUGAAACGAAAGUAAGUAUUUUUAUUAUUUGUCAAAGUAUUCUAAUUACUUGUUGGACGAUACGAUGAUAAAAAUGAAUAUUGAUAAUUCGAAGACGUUUACCUAACCUUACUUCUACAAUAUAUUGACUCGGAAAGUGAUAAUGAUACAAAUAUUGAUAAUGUGUAUUAAGAUUUUAUUUUACUUCACUCAUUUCUACCUGACAGUUAAAACUCUUUAAAGAAUUCAGAUUAAACUGAUUAAUUUGUUAUAUAUAUUUAUUUAAUUCACAACCGGAAAAUUGACUACAUUAAUUCACUCCUUGAACCGUGUAUUCCUCAUUGACAUGAUUCCUCAAUUGCGAAAGAGAGCGAGACACGCGAGAAACUAAAUUCGUGUUUCAAGAAAUAGAGAUUCUGCAUUCGAUGAAAGGAGAUGUUCGACUUCUAUGUGGCGAUAGUAGAAACCAAGCCUGAUCAACGGGUUUUGAUGAGAAAUCACAAGACCCAAGUCUGGCGCUUCGGAUUUCUCCGCGGAAAUGUAAAGUAGCAGGUAAUCAAAAAAUUACUCGAAAAGGAAAUAUAUAUAAAUGAUACGUUUCUUUUAUAUGAAUUUUCAAAAAUGAAAAUAUUCACAAAAAUUUGCACUUUCUUAUAAUUGUUCAUUCACAAAUAACCAAUGAAACAAAUAAGGAACGUCUAAAUAAAAUAAAACACAACGAACAGAAAUAGAAAAUUACUUUGAUAGAAAAUGAUUAAUUAUGAAACAAAUUUUAAUUAUAAAAUGAAAAAGUUUGAAAGCUGCCAAUGAACAUGUGAAAAAAUCAAGAACGUGAACUAAUAAUUGAACGAAAAAUUCAUUUCUGAUAGAGAAAUUAUGUAAUAUGAACUUCUAUUAUACGAACAAUCUGAUUAUGUGAACGUGUUUGUUAUUCAAUAUAUAAAUGAAAAGUUCAACUAUAAAUAUACAAAUAAUAAAACUUAUAUCUCAUGAUUGAUAUUACUUCGUAAGAUUAACUAUGUGAGAAAUGGUUAUGCAAUUACGUAUACGCAGUGUUGUUCAAUUUAUCGCGGUUUCCCGCGACUCGAAUCGAAAGGCAGUAGCUUCCGUAAGAGAGGAAGGCAAAUCUUGCCGCGGUGCGAGUUUUUUGCCAAAUUAAAGUCGUUAGAGGAUAAACGAGAGACUUGCUGGAACAGCCAAGUGGCAAGAAAUCUUCUUCGUGGAGGGUCUAAUCGCAAGGCGUGCGUUGAAGCUCGCGAUCCUACCGCCAUCUUCCAAGAAGGAAACGAAAAGAACAGAAUAUCUCGAAGAAAGCAAUUUCUCAGGACGCGAAAACGUAGCGGGAUCCAUUCGUCAAAGUUGAAGCCAACGACAUCGUUGAACAACGGUUCGAAUUUACGAGCUCCACGAAGCGCGAAUAGCGUCAAAGUUGCAGCUCGACACGCCACCAAGGUAUACCGAGCAGGAAACUGGACUGUUCCACUGCUGAGCUUCUCCGGUUGAAGAAAUUCUUGGACACUUCCUGCUCUUCGAUCUCCGCGACUGAUACGCGUUUCACAGGCCACGUUAACCUUGAGGCCAUCCCGAGUUAAUGAGAAAACCGGAGAAAGAACGUUCGGUUUUACAGAUUGUUUUACCAGUUUUCGCAGGUUGAUUAGAUCCAAGCAUAGAUCGUAAUUAUUCAUCAAGACAAGAAAACAAUUAUAUUUUUUUUUGUUAGGAAGGAUAAAUAGCAAUUGAAAAUGUUAUAUAGAGAUGCUAUAAAAGCAAGGAAUGGAUGAAAUCAAGCAUCACUGUUCAGAAAACAAUAUCUUUUUCACUUGUUUCAUACGGAUAGAGAUAAUUUAACCUAACUAAAGCACAAUGUUUAAGUACAAUCUAAUCAAUCUAUCAUUUUAAAUGUAAAUUGUAUAGCAUCUAUACAUACGAUACCUAUCAUUUCUAAUUUUUAAACUCGAAAUAUUCGAUUUUCUCAUUUUUUUUCUUUUUCAGAAAUUUUGCAAUACCUAUACCUACAAACCGCCAUUCAUAAGGAUCAUCGUGGAAUCGUUUGCGCUUGAUUUUGUGAACACAAGGUUUAAUAUUUAAAGACGAGGGAAUACUUUCACUAUGUUUGUUUCUCGUAAGUAGCGGCUAUGUUAUUAUUUCACCGACGAGCCUUUGGCAUCCGCACGAGAGUUAAAGCGUACUUAAGACCUCGGUUCGAUCCCGUUGGUCUGCUUAAAAAAAAGCCCAGCGUCGGCGAUUUCCUCCCCGUCUACGGUGACCCGCCGAAUCUUUGGUUUCACGAAAAUUAUCCAGUUACCGAGAAAUUGACUCUCGUUCCCUUUCCUCGCAGGUGAACGAAGUUCUAACCGAGGCUGAACGACGCUAGUGCCGUCAACUCCAUAGAAAGUUUCAUACACACUUUCACCGUGGUGGAUUGGUGCGAAGCACGUCAGGGUGUCUGUUUGGAGCUUUUACGGUUUCGAGAAGAAGGCAAAUGCGCAUAUCGAGCUCUCGUGUCCCCUUUGCGGUGCGUUUCGUCUCUGUGCACCUCCUCCAGGUUGGUGCAAGAUCAACGACCCAGGGUCAAGAGGAGGAGGUAGAGGAGUCGAGCAGAGCAUCAAGUGCUCGUUGGUGUAGCGUGGCGGACCAGGAAAUCGGUGCCAACGCCGGGAUCGGAGAGUCUGCAACGUCGUGCAACACAACCUUGUGUAUCCAUCUCGUCCUUUAAGGCAUCCAUUAGCUUCCUAACUACUAAACACACCGCUCGGGUCCGACGACCCCGUCCUGCUUCCUACCCACCGCACCGUCCGGUCUACGAGGAACCUCUUCUUCCACCUCUUCCCGAGAGCUUGCCUUUUUAUUUUCCCUACUCUUCCAUCUUCGUCUGCCCCCUUCUGCCAUUUCUUCCUACUCUUUCCUUCCCUCCUCCUCCUUCCCCCGUCCUCUUCUACCCUCCACCAUCGUCCUCUUCGUCCCGAUACCGACGUUCGAGGGUCAUCGACAUCCGCGGCUGGAGACAUUGUACGCAACGUUGUUGCUCGGUUAUCGUGGUUGGCCGCGCACCUUGCGCGCGUUAACUUCGUCCGAUGCCCUCAUCGAACCUCGCACCUGACACGUUCAAGAGCAUGGAACGAAGAAUAUACACGCGACAUGUGUGCGUACAUAUAUAUCCCAAUGAGAGAACGAAAUUUCACAACAACGAAUUGCGCAACGAAGGAUCGUAGAACGAAUCGUAACUGGAACGAAUUUCAUCGGAUCGGCAACGCAACGAUGUUGCACAAUGGAGAUUUGCAUUCGAGUGCAGUGAGACGGUACGGCCUCUGCCUACCUGUCCGCUAAUUUCCUUAAUUGCCAGCCAGAGUGUAAUUAACGACGACCGAGUCGCUCCGAUUUCCAUGAUAUACGUACCCUCUAAUGAGAUAAAUUUAACCAGGAUCCCUUCCUGGGGGAGAGAAUUAAACGGCGCGGCUCUGGGCUAACUCGAAGCAGUAAAUCUCAAGAUGGAGCAGGAUGUGAUUUCGUAGAAACGACACUUGGAAAGACCAAGCGUCGGUGGAUGCAUCAUCGUCUUUUCCGGAAGGGACGGGCGGAAGGGACGAGUCAUCGAAGAGGCGAGAAGUCAUCCCGGCGAGAGCGUGAACGCGGGCAAACAGAAACGCGUUAUUGCGCGGCGUCAGGCCGACACGUUUGCAGUAUUCUCGUCGAUUGUCGCUCGUUAACGCCAUUGUGUGCCUUGGGGGACGCGCACGUUACGCAAUACACGCACUUGAUACGGCUUGCGGCCGUAUGUCCAGGAUGAACCGAGAAAAAUAACUGGAAUAUCGCGUCUCACCGCCGCAUUGAAAGAGCGAAAGAGAUCGAAGGAGAGGGAAAUACGUGCUCAAUCACGUUUCUCGGAAAGAUCUGGUGGAGGAUUUGACGUCUCGUAGGCAAAAAUAUAUCUUCGAUAAUCCAAUGUUGAUACAUUUUUACAAUUUGUAAUGCAAGAUCGGCUGCAUUCCCGCAAAACCGCUUCGAAAUCGUUUCAUUCGAAAUCUUUUGCGGUCGAGCACCGCAGGAAAUUUUUGCCCCUACGCCGAUUGCGACAUUAACCACGGCGAUGAUUCUCGAUCCUCUUGGGCUCUUUCGACGAGGAGAUCGCGUGAAAUUUCGCUAAAUUAAUUACGUCACUAUCGCUGCACCUUUGCGGCUGAAACUUUCACACCGAUCGUUCGUUGUUUUCGUUCCUUGCUCUAAAGGUAAAUGAUUUUUUGAAAGAUCGAAAAAGAUUAGUUUGGAGGUAAGAUCACGUGAAAUGAAAUGAUCGCGGCAUGCGUGAUUUAUAAUCAAAAAGAAGUGUAAACGAGGAGCACUUGAUAUAAUUUGUACGAAAUUACAGUAAAUUGUAUGAUUUCAGUCGCAAAAGGAAAUCGUGGUUCAAAAAAGCGGAAUUGUGAAUGGAGAAAAAACUUUGAAAACUUUGAACCGAAUACAGCCGAUUCUUUUUCCCAAAGAUUUAUUGGAUUGUGACUGACCAUCACUAAGAACCUUAAUUAUUGCUGUCCACACAAUUGCGGAUCGAUAGUUUUAUUGCUGACUUCACCCAGACAGGUAUAUUUCCAGGUAUGUUUACCAACAACAAUGAAAAGCGUGAAGAAGCGGGCACAAAUGCCGGAACAGAAAAGACGGAGAAUCCUCAUGAUUCGUAAUGUGUGUAAAAGGACAAAAGAGCGCGUUAGCUGAAUUCAUCGAGCGAAAAGAAGAAGAAGAAGAAGAAGAAGAAGGAGAAAAAAGAGAUGGAAUAGAAAGGAGAAGAGGAGAAGGAGGACCGGUCGACUCGAUCGUUCGUCUCGACCGCACGCCAACUUCCUGCUGUCAAUCGUUGAAAUAUGGCCGAUGCGGACCGACCGACCGACCAGUUCGGUUCAUUUCAAAACUUCCCAUCGACGACCGCAAAUAAACCAAGCCACGGAUCCCUCUUUGAUGUUUUGCGAAAAUAAAGCGGACGUUUCCUCUCUUUCGAAUCGAGCAACAUUGUAACGAAGUGCAUGAAGACUACGGGUGCAUUCGUAAACUAUUCGACCGAGUUCGAUUCACCGCGGUGGAUUUUGGAAAAAAAGGAAUAUAUACACAUAUAAGGAAUGUGUGUAACGGGGUGGAGGAAGAUAAGAAUUGCGUGGCACGUCGAACGAAAUUACGAGAGACUGAGGAGGGAACGAAAAAUCCGUUGGUAUGGAAGCAUUGGUUUCUUCGGGGGUCCGGAUUUAGCCACGGAACGCCACGAAAUGCCAAUAAGAGGAUACUUUGAUCGUUGUCGGAAUGAAUGCUCGUCACGAACGAACCAAGGGAUGGGCGACUUCCAAAUUUUGCGAAGAAGUAAAAAAAACUAGCCGGAGAAGGGCUUGCAGGCGCUUGGCCCAGUAGCGAUGGGAUCGAACGUAACGCGAGUUUGAACAAGGAUUCGAAUUUUUUAUAAAUAUCUCAAAGUUAUUAAACUUUCCGUUUAUUUAAAAUUAAUUAGUUUCUUUAAAAACAUUCUCGUAUUUCUGUUGUUUAAACAUCAUUUCGUAUAUUGUUUUUCACCGGUUAAAAGUAGAAAAAUUAAAAUAAAAUAGGAAUUCUGUUUGUUAUACUGUAUCGUAAUUACUUAUAAAAGAUUCGAUUGAUUUUAAUAUCAAAGUAUUCGUUACGUGCAGAGUUGUAUGAUAUUUAUUUUAAGAUUCGAAACUUAUCAACACUCUUCCCCAUUUGAUUUACAAGUAUACACUCACCGACGAAACAAAAAUAAGAUUUUUCAUCCUCCGAGAUAUUGGAACUAAAAAUAACGUAAGAAGAUAACAGCCUAUACAUCAAAUAUAAUAAACAAUAAAUCUUUUUUCAAAUACGCAUGCAUAAAGACUAAAUAAGAUAAAAAAAAUGGGAAGAAAUUUGCAAAUAAUCAAGUUUGUUCCUUAACUUUUCAGAGUAAAUGCACAUCCUGGAAUUUUAUCCCAUCACUCGUUGGCGAGCACGAAAGCGUGUACGAAAAGGAGGAAGCACUGGGGCAAGGAGGAGACACCAACUCCCUUGACGUCCUUCGUCGGUCGCCACAGUUUGCUGACCCGGUUCGAAAAGAGCAAAAAUCGAUGUCGAUUCGAGGAGGAAGGGAAAGAGUAGUGGCCAAAAUCGACCAACCGGUUGACCACUGCUACGUAUAUACCCUCAAACUCUCUUCGCGGUAAUCUCGUAGACUAUUUAUACCGUCUUCCCGUGCCGCCUUUGAACCGAACGGAACUAAAACUACCGGUACACUGCACGCUCGAUGCAUCCGGUCUAACCGCCUAUCGGUUAUACUCGUGUAUUGAUCGCAGUUAAGGAUCCAUCGUUUCUAUCGAUGCCUACCGUCGAUGAAUUACAAUUAACCGUGAAACGUGUUACGGAUUUCCAUUCGUUCGCUCAUGCUACAUGCUACGUAGCCAUCUUGGAUUUUCGUUAAUCGAUAGAGAAACUCGUUUGCGGUGAGUAAUCGAUUCAAAAGUGGAAAAACCGAAACAGUCAAAGUUGUGCAAAUAUCGGGAAAGAAAUUGUUUUCGAAACGCAAUGACUCUCGAGUCGCAGAGACUUUCUGUCGACUCAGCGUCCUUGCGAGAUAUCGUUGCCAGAAAUUGACUAAUAAUACAAAUUAAACACCUCCUGGCAUUAUUACAUCAGAAAAUAAGAAAGAACAGGGAAGAACAGGGAAUCAUUUGUAACCUUUCACUGGUUGCCGCAUAGAUAAUCGUGCAACAAUCUCUCGACGCCUUCCGCGCAGUGAUAACGUAUUAUCAGCCUCGACUAAUCUCUCUAGGUUACCUUCUCACAAUGGGAAACCCUGUUACGGUAUCUUCGGUAAAUUCUGUAAGUACAACAAGCCGUGGCGAUACGUACCUGGAACACAAACGAAAAAUUUAUCGUUAGAUAGGCGAGAAAUUGUGAAAAGGCGAAAAAAAGAAAAAAAUACGGUCGGUCAAACGCCUCUCGUUUUCUCCUUCGAGCGAUAAAGCAUCCGCGAAGGCUGUGGAAGGUUUGGUGCAUCGAACUCGGUCGCGCGAGUCACAUGCAAAUUAGCUGAGAGAGGAAGAAGGAGGAAGAAGCCCGUUGGCUCGUUCUCUUGGUUUCGACGCGACGACGGGAAGCAGAGGUCUCCAAGGAGGAGACACACGAUCGAGCAUUCCCGUGCACACGAGGAGGAACGCGUCCACGCGAGAGGAGAACGCCGGUUUAUCCUCGACUCUCGACACGUUACGGCCGUAUACGUGUAGGAAGGAGCUAUCGAAAAUCUCAAAUCCCACUAACCUCGUUGGCGAGCUACCAAGCCGAUGGUGCACGCCUUCGGUACGGAUUUCUUUACGGCCCGCUGGGAAUUUAUUUCUUCUUUACGUGCGACGGAUAUAUAUUCGCGAUAGCAGCCACCACGGGUAGCCGUAUGCGAGAGAAACGCGGCGAGAACCGUGUUGUUGCUUCCCCUAGGACGCUUUAACGACCACCAAUUCUUUCCACGAUGAUACCUUUCCCCUUUUCUUUUCUUUUCUUUUUCUCUUCCAUUUAUGCCGCUAAUAAAAUGCAAACGAUGUGUUUCUUCGCAAAAAGAAAAGGACGAAAAUGUGCCAAUCGAUCGAUGGAGCUUACGAUUAUUCGUGGACCAAUUUGAUUGCUCGAAAGGGGAAUGAACCGUAGUAAAAAAGCAAACGAUUCAAUUGUAAACUCGGUGGUGGUCGAAAAUUGCCACUGGACGAUGAUAGAGCGAGCGAGUUAAUCCUGCGAGGCGUGUUUGUUAUUUUCUAAUGGAAAUAACUGCGGCGGGUGAAAUUAACUCGAUUUCGUAUCCGUGCACGGGAGAAAGAAGCGGGGAAUAGGUGUGUGGAGUGGGGAUAUCGAUCGCGGAAUAGUCGGAGCAAUCGUCGUUAAACGGGUAGAAACUCGGCCGUGUGACGUAACAUCGCUUUAUAGAGAGAGACUAACGAUUAUUACCUUCUUCCCCCUCCCUCUCUCUCGGUUAGUUGCCGGUUUUCAUCGUUGCCAGCGAAAGCCGGCGACCACGUGAAAUUGUGACAAGUACUUAAGCGUGUCGCAAUUAUCUUAGACGACGCUUAACUGCGAAUCCGCUAGCCGUUUUUGUAUCGCGCGCGCUUUGCCAUUUUCUUUAUUGUUCUAAACACGAAUGCGGCCGCAUUCGAGACACGUAACGUUUAACUUUACCACGUAACGCGUAGUCUUCCUCAAACACUGCCUCUCCUUCGUGGAGAUCGAUGAGAUUCCCGUUUUUCUCUUUGCUCGUAAUUCGCAAACAUUUCGAGCAUCUACGCGAUGAAAGAUACGCGUCCAAUCAGGUGAAUUCAUUAAAGAGGAGCGCGUCGUCUCGAUACUCUCGACACGAGAGAGGGAGCCAGCUCGAGAAACCGGUUAUCAAUUACCACUGAUUCGAGGCCGUUCCGCAAAACAAUCGGCAAAAAUUCCGCGUUCCGUGGCCCCGUGCCGUCGAAACGCAACUUAAUCACGAAGGAAAACCGCGGCCAUCUUUGAUUAUUUUACAAGCGUUCGUUGCGCGCGCAAUUAGGACCAUAAUGGGGAUACAUUUGCAUCGUGGUAGUAACGAGAGGAUUCGCUUUAUCCGAGAUCAUUCGAUAGCAAUUUGUUCCCAGAAAUCGUGUCAUUUCUCGCCGCUUUCGAUUCGAAUUAUCGUGAAACGAGACGAUAAUCUAUCCGAGUUGGUACGAGUGUUUAUGACGCGCGUCAAAAUAAAAUUAGCCGUAUGCAUAAUGCAUAAUGCGUAACUCGACAGAAAUAGUUGCGAUAAACAGUAAACCGAGUUACAAUUUUGUUUUUUCGUUUUUCAUUUUUUCUUUCUCUCUCUCUCUCUCUCUCCCCUCGUUUUUGCGACGACGUGAGAACUAGCGAUUCUUUCACACGUUCUCGAUGAGGAAACCAGAAUGAAAAGCAAAUGGUAGUAUUCCAGAUGGGUCAAGCGUAGCCACCUUAAGGACGUUCUAUUCUUGGAAGCUGCAUCUAUCAACCGUUAGCCGUGAUAGCUUCUUUCCUGAUGAAUCCACUAUAUUUUGCCGUGCAUCGCGCGUUCCCCGUAUCGCCGUUUCGAUUUAUUGCUUUAACUUGACUUUAAUUGCUUCGCCGAUACUCCUCGUGUUUUCUUCCACUCGCUACUUCAGUAUUAUAAUUUAUCAUUCUUCUGGCUUCGAAGACCUGUGUUUCUUUCCUUCGCGAUUAGAUGCACUUGCGUGUGAAUUCGCGGCGAAAACGAUCGUGCGCUCGCUAGACGAGAAAAUUGAGAGAGGAUUGAAUCGAGGAUAAAGUUGUGCGAAAAAAUCAACGACCCCUGUAAAGUUGGUAAAUGAAAAAACGAAAGCUGCUUAUUCGUAUAUCCAACCUUUCGAACAACGAUUCGAUGAUAUAUCUUCCGUAAUUUUGUUCAAUUGGAAUAUAAAACGAAUUCACACUUCGAAUAUUUCCACGGGUAAAAAAUGCUCGACAACGGAGCAAGCGUGGUUUUCGCGGGAACGUUUGAAUAAAAAUAUUGGCCACAUGUUGCGACUUAAAGAAGGCGGACAAUAAAGUGGCGAGGUUAUUAACGUCAUAAUUAUUAGCGGAGAUAAGUCGUUCACGAGGGACUUAAUGAGUUUUCCGAAUGAACGAUUAACUCGAGAGGCCGAGGUGGUCGUGAUUUAUAGCUCGAGUGAAAAAUGAAAGGAUACGUAGCGUAUUUGUAUGUGAGACGCGUGGGCGCGUUUCACGUUCGCGUUUCGGUUAAGAGGAAAGCAAACGACGACCGAAAGAGCAGAAGUAACGAAAACCUGAAUCCAAUUUAUCGUGAUCCUUUCAAUCGCUCGUUUCGAUCAAGAUUGGCCGAGUUCUCGAGAAGGAAAAAAGAGUGGUAGAAAAAGAAGAAAAAAAAGAUGGCAGAAAUUCGAUGGAAGUUUGACGAAACGAAAUGGUUGAACGAGAUGCGAGAGCGUCCAUACGGCGAAGGGACCGCAUCCGGGGCAAGGCGGGACCUGCAUCCGGUCUGAAAACGGAUGAGACCUGGUAUUCAAGUGCAAAUCAUUUCACGGCAUUGUGCUCGAGAGUUCGAGACCGUGGUAAUGACAAAAUCGUUUCUACAAAUACCAUCCAACUUCCAAAGAACCAGACUGGUCGACGCCUUAUUCUGAGAAAUCGCUCGACACAGUUUUUUGUCGAUGGUUUUUCGUGGAAAACGACGGACUCGACUCGAUUCUCUAUUCAUAUGAAGUUGGUAUGAAGACCGAUAGAUAGGUAAUUUACAAUUGAACGAAUAAUGAAUCAUUUCUAUCAACUUGAGACCACGAUGUGCGACACGUUUCUCAAAUACUUCCUCUGUUUUAUAUCCCGCACUAUGUAACAAGAUAAAUUUUCUUUUCAUUGCGCGAUUAACGUUAUUGGAUAUUCGCAAUUUCAUGUUCGAGAUUGCUCUUUUCCUACGCUUAAUUGGAAUGCUCUCAUUAUUGCGUCGAGAUCCGUCCAGACUUCUAAUUCCAUCCUCCUAGUAAAAUAUUUACAUAAUGCCGCCAAUUGAACCGUUGCAUCGAAAUCUCGAUGCGCAACUUGUAAUUUAAGUUGGUCGCUCCGAGGUAUAGCUUCCAAUUGCCCGAAGCGAUUCGUCCACUUAGGACAAACUAAGACGCAGUGCCGCUACUACCAACGGAUUGUUUGUGCCGCCUUUUCAAGGCAGACAUGGUGAGAAUACAGGUUUUUCGCAAUGGUUUCUUGGAAGACCUCAAAGUUACUUCAAUUUCUUAGCACAAAUCCUCUUAACAUUGUUCAAAUUGAGAAUUGUGGCUAUCGAUACCGUUAUCAAUAAAAUUAAUAUUAAACUACUAUUGAACGUAUAUAUAAAUAUAUAGUUGUUUAAUGGAUUUGUUGAUCAAAAAUUUAAAUAGUAAACAGAUUUCAGAAGUAAUAAAUUAGUUACGGUAAUUGGAAUUUUUGAAUUUUUCCAAUAUCGAUAAUUCGAUAUGUCGAUAAUAUCGUCAAAAUGUCGAUAGCAGAUGAUAAUAAUUAGAAUCCUUAUUUUUAAAGAUAUUGUUAACAAUUAUAUACGAACUAACGAUAUUUCAUUGCUUUUUUUGUAUAUUUAAAAUUAUUUAUUAAAAUACCAAUACAAGUGGAUUAGAAAUGGCUUAAUAUAAUUUUUCAAUAAAAUUUAUUUUUAUUGCAACUUUUAUUACAAAUAGCAUUUUUACGUAUCUUAAUAAUAAUUAAUAAGAAAAAAAUAAUAAUUUAUUAUUCAUUUCUAUUCGUUAAUAAUAUCCUAGCGAUAUAUCAAAAGCUAUGAAUAAGAUAUCGAUUAAGUAUCGAUAAUCGAUAGUCGCAAUUCUAAUCCAAUAUGGCGGAAACGUGCGAGAAACGUGAGAGUCGAUCGAAUUUUGUUCUUGCUAUUUUUCAAUAAUGAAGUGGAUAAUAAUUAUCAACGAAACGCAGUUGCGCAUUAAACAACGGAUACAGAUAAGAUUGGAACUUCACACAGCCUCUGUGCAGCGAGACGAAACUGUGUUCACGGUCUUGCACGAGUCGUUAAUGAAUGCAACUCAAUUGUAAUUCGAUUGACGUGAUGUGUAGAGGCGAGGCGCGACUCGUUGCCUCGUUCCUCGGUUCGCUUGUUCGCUUGGAAACAGCGGGAGGAAACGAAGAAAGGAAAAGAGAGAAUGGCGAGGAGGAAGAGGGCGGGUAUAAGGGUAAGCACCGAACCUGCCGAGGAAUAGCUUCACGCAUGCUUCCCACGUGACUCAGCCGCUCGAGCAUAGAUACGUAUCGUUUGUUCUCCCUCGUUUCUUCAUUUAUGCUCCCUUCGUCGUAUAUGAAUAUGACGCAUCUUUGGAAACUUCGAUUCAAAAGCCAAGCUUCCGCCUUUCUAAGAAGUAUCAUCGUUACGAGAAAUAUUACGUGGACAUUGUGAGGAAGCGAAAGUCACGUCCCUUUCCCGACAUGCGAAACGUUUUCGCAGGAGUCAGAAUGUGCGCAAAGCUCAACGAAUAAUUAAAAUUCUCAAACCUUGACGAUUGAUUGUUAAUUCAACAUCAUCCACGAUCAACAGCGAGGUUUCGAUCGAUUUCGAUUCUCGAGUAGUUCCACACUCGAAUACGCUUUGUUUACGAAUUGAAUGGCUAUUAUUAUAGGUCAUUCGCAUCUCUAAAUACUUCACGUAUUUUUAUUUAUUCUUUUUUCAUCGAUGUAUCAUCACUUAUACUGAUAGAAUGUAUAAUGUAAGUACAGAAUAUCAUUACAAUAUGUAUUUUUUAAUGAUUCAGUUUUUUCAUUUUAUAAUACAGAAUUUAUAUAUAAAUACAUUACAAUAUUUAUAUAUCCAAAAUGUAAAAAUUCUUACUAGUUUUUACGUAAAUACAAGUUAAAAAUUAUUCCUAUUUAUAUUCCCAUCACUGUGUUCACAACAAUAAGAAUGAUGAACAAUAAGAAAUGACUAAUUCGUAAAAUCCACGAUUCCUUCGAUUAGCCAUUAUAUCCAAUGUCACAAUAUGUCCUCGAUAAUGUUCCUGCUCGCAUCAAUACCAAAUAUUGCUAUUUUGCAUUUUCAGGAAACUCUCCGAUGCUAAAUUUAACAACACAAGGAAUUACCAUCUCGAUCGACAAUUGAGAACGAAAGAAGUAAAGCGUGAUUUACGAGCGAUUAGGUAUUUCGUAAAAACGUCACGACCCAAAGUGUCGCAAGUUAUCGAAAUAAGGUCGUUCACGAGCGUCGUGCACAACAACAGGCGAGAUCUGUAGUAGAAGGGUUGUUAUUCGCAGGUUAGUAUCGGUGAUACCUAAUCGCGUUUCGAAGGAAACCGAGACUAUAAAUCAACCAGCUUUCAAAACUGGUUGCUCGCCGCAGACAUGAUCUCAUUAAUACCGUGUGCUUCGGUCACGGUAAUUGGACAGUUCUUGGCGGUGCGAUCGACGAGUUUCGGCCAGUAUCGCGGAACCCACGCACGAAUUCGCGUAUCCCGCGUCGUGACACGAGAUUGGUAACGAUAUACGUGACGAAACCGAGAAAGGCAGUCGUCGAUCCGAGUCGGCCUCCUUCGAGAACCAUGGCCGUCAGUCGAUACGAUUACUCGUGACAUUUAGAAUCUAUAGCUAAUAUCCACGACUGAGAACAUUAGCUGCGUAACCCAUAUAUCAUCAUAUAUCACCGGGUAUAAAUGUUGCGUAUCAAAAUAUGAAGAAUAACUAGAUGUAUGAUCGCAAUAGUAAAGAAAAUUAUAGAAUCUUA